UCCCUGGUGGCUCAGUGGUAAAGAAUCUGCCUGCCAGCGCAGGAGACCUGGGUUCGAUCCCUUGUUUGGGAA
rnacentral:tRNA from 1 species